rnacentral:rRNA from 1 species
CCUACGGGAGGCAGCAGUGGGGAAUAUUGCACAAUGGGCGAAAGCCUGAUGCAGCAACGCCGCGUGAGUGAAGAAGUAUCUCGGUAUGUAAAGCUCUAUCAGCAGGGAAGAAAAUGACGGUACCUGACUAAGAAGCCCCGGCUAACUACGUGCCAGCAGCCGCGGUAAU